GUCUACAGCCAUGCUGCCCUGAACAAGCCCGAUCCCAUCUGAUCUCGGAAGCUAAGCAGGGUUGGGCCUAGUUGGUACUUGGAUAGGAAACCAACUAGGAAGACCAGGUGCUGUAGGCG
rnacentral:rRNA from 1 species